rnacentral:rRNA from 1 species
CCUACGGGGGGCAGCAGUGGGGAAUAUUGCGCAAUGGGCGAAAGCCUGACGCAGCGACGCCGCGUGAGGGAUGAAGGUCUUCGGAUCGUAAACCUCUGUCAGCAGGGAAGAACGGUCACUGUGCUAAUCAGCAGUGAAUUGACGGUACCUGCAAAGGAAGCACCGGCUAACUACGUGCCAGCAGCCGCGGUAAUACGGAGGGGGCGAGCGUUAAUCGGAAUUAUUGGGCGUAAAGCGCUCGUAGGCGGUAUGUUAAGUCAAGGGUGAAAGCCCCGGGCUCAACGUGGGAACUGCGUUUGAAACUGGCAAACUGGAGUGCGGGAGAGGAUAGUGGAAUUCCAGGUGUAGGGGUGAAAUGCGUAGAGAUCUGGAGGAACAUCAGUGGCGAAGGCGACUAUCUGGCACAUAACUGACGCUGAGGAGCGAAAGCGUGGGUAGCAAACAGGAUUAGAUACCCUGGUAGUC